rnacentral:rRNA from 1 species
GAUGAACGCUGGCGGCGUGCCUAAUACAUGCAAGUCGAGCGAACAGACGAGGAACUUGCUCCUUUGACGUUAGCGGCGGACGGGUGAGUAACACGUAGGUAACCUACCUAUAAGACUGGGAUAACUUCGGGAAACCGGAGCUAAUACCGGAUAAUAUUUCGAACCGCAUGGUUCGAUAGUGAAAGAUGGCUUUGCUAUCACUUAUAGAUGGACCUGCGCCGUAUUAGCUAGUUGGUAAGGUAACGGCUUACCAAGGCAACGAUACGUAGCCGACCUGAGAGGGUGAUCGGCCACACUGGAACUGAGACACGGUCCAGACUCCUACGGGAGGCAGCAGUAGGGAAUCUUCCGCAAUGGGCGAAAGCCUGACGGAGCAACGCCGCGUGAGUGAUGAAGGUCUUCGGAUCGUAAAACUCUGUUAUUAGGGAAGAACAAACGUGUAAGUAACUGUGCACGUCUUGACGGUACCUAAUCAGAAAGCCACGGCUAACUACGUG